UCCAUCAGCAGUUGAGUGGCUAAAUUGUGGUGUAUCAUACAGUGGAUUUCUACAGAGAAAUAGGAAGUUACGGAUAAACGCAACAGCCUGAACGAAUAGCAGCUACUGUUAACUUAGGCACAAAGAAGAGGACGCUGUAUGAUUCCAUUUUGAUGAGGUUCAAAAUAUAACUGCACAGCAAGUUGUUCUCCAGUAUGAAUCAGGAAUCGUACCAGCCUGGGGAACAUGGCGAGAUCCCAUCUUUGCGCGUCGGGAGACAAGGUCUCUCACCCAGGGUGAUCAUAACUCACUGCAGCCUCAACCUCCCGGGCUCAAGUGAUCCUCUCACCUCAGCCUCCCUAGUAGCUCAGACUAAUGACCUGUACCAGGACACCCAUACCCAGCUAAUUUUAGUAGAGACUGUCAGGCCUCAGAGCCCAAGCUAAGCCAUCAUAUCCCCAGUGACUUGCACGUAUACAUCCAGAUGGCCUGAAGCAACUGAAGAUCCACAAAAGUGAAAAUAGCCUUAACUGAUGACAUUCCACCAUUGUAAUUUGUUUCUGCCCCACCCUAACUGAUCAAUGUACUUUGUAAUUUCCCCGACCCUUAAGAAGGUUCUUUAUAAUUCUCCCACCCUUGAGAAUGUACUUUGUGAGAUCCACCCCCUGCCCACAAAACAUUGCUCCAAACUCCAAUGCCUAUCCCAAAACCUGUAAGAACUAAUGAUAAUCCCACCACCCUUUGCUGACUCUCUUUUCGGACUCAGCCCACCUGCACCCA
rnacentral:lncRNA from 1 species